AAUAUAUCCGGGAAAAUUGGCGAGUAUUCAGAGGAGAUCGCAGUGCUGAUGCAGAGGAACUGAUGAGAUAAUUAAGAAGAACACAGAUAUUUGGUUUCGAUUGAUAAUCGAGAUUGAUAAGAACAGUUAGAGACGGGUCUUGAUUUUGUCUCUGAGAUAAAGAGAGGAGAUAUUAUGAACUCAGGAAAGAAAUUGGGGAUAUAUUGCCCUAGAAUCGAGAACCUAGAGAAGAAAUCAGCAAAGAAGGUAGAAGUGAUGUUGUUGAAGUGGUUUUGCUGUUGAAGAUGGUGUUCAGUCGAUUAGGGUUUGUUGGUGCUGGUGAUGGAUGGAUGUAAUUUUGGUUGAUUUCGAUAAUCGGUGCAAGCAAUUGGAGAUUGAGAUGAAGGUGAUGCUGCUGUGAAGAGAUCAAGCGAAGCUUACACAUUCCAGCUACUACUCCUGUGAGUCCAGUUACUCAUUUGGUACGAAUGCCAACCUAAUGAAACUACAAACUCAACAACUUAUAUAAAGGCCUGUAUUCCAUUUGGAGUAGAAGAAUUGGGGCAAGAAUUGAAAUAGGUUCUCUUUGAAUUCGAUCUUGAGGAGAUUCUGUGACCAUCAGGUGGUGGUGAUUUUGAGAAGUGGAAGUGAGUUAUCAAGGUACUGUUGGUGUUUGAGCUCAUUGGUGAUUUUGGGUUUAUGCGGCUAAAUUAGAUGUAUGUUUAGGACAGGGAUGAGCUGCUGGUGAUUGCAGUUGCUGAUGGUUGUAGGUGCUGGUUAUGUAUGAGUUACAGGAGGUAAAGAAGUUGGUGCUUGAUAUCGUUGUUGCAGUAUGAUAAGCAAUUGAAUUCACAGAGAGAUGUUGAUGGUUCUGGUGAAGGAGUAACUAUGUCAGGUGGUGGACAAAAUGUAGUUGAUGGAUGUUGUGGACUUAACUGAGAAGGUACACUGAUGGUGUUGGUGGAAAUCGAUAGUGCUGCAGUGGAGGUCCUGGUGGUGCUGCAAUGUAAGGAUGGAAGGGUGCUACUUCAAGGAACUGAGCAUGGGAAUAUCAGUUAUUGCAGGUUGUGCAUUGGAGUUGCAGUUAUGAAGUUGCAAAAAGGUGUUGAGAAGAAGAGAAGCAGUCUGAAUGUGUGGGUUUCUUUUAACCAUAAGUUCUGGUGUCCGUGGACUGCAAAGGGAGAGUGGAGUUGGUUGUUUGGUUGUUGUUUUUCAAGAUGGAGAUGUUGGUUUUGGUGAUGGGUUUGCCAUAGCUACUGAAGGUUGUUGAUGUUGUGACUGAGAUGGAGUUGCAGGUGGUGAUGAUAUGAAGAUGGCCAUGGUGUUGCAGUUGCAGUUGUAAUUGUUUAGAGAUACAGAAUGAGAUGCAGCAACUGAAGUGGAUAUGUGUUGGUCUGUGUUUGAAUGGAACUGCGAGUAAAUAUGCAUUGCAGGUGUGAUGCUGCUGGAGAAUGGCUUGACACAGAAGAGAAGUUGAUUAUGAUCAUGGUAUUCAUGAGCCGUUAACAACAACUUCAGAAAGGUAUUAAGGAUAAGCAAGAAUGAUGCUUAACUGGGUUUUAUUUGGUAUUGCUUCGCACCGCCCACCAAAUAAAAAUUCUCAUCGAUCCAGUUCGUAUCACGGGUUAGAUAUGCCCGAUGCGUAGGACAACAUAUGCAUCGGGAAGCUGAGCUACACCAAAUAAAAAAUUCUAAGCGACGGGGCGAGGAGAAGCCGAGCCACACCAAUAAAAAAUGCAUCGCCCCUCAAAACGGGGCGAGGCGAAGCCGAGCCGCACCAAAUCAAAAAUCCUAAGUGACUGGGCGGAGCAAAGCCCCGCGACACCAAAUAAAAAUGCACGACGGGACGAAACGAAGCCACAUCACACCAAUUCAGAAAUAUGGUUAAAAGUAAAAAAUGAUAGUAGAUGGUUUUCUGGUCCGCCCGAUGCGUAGCACGGGCACAAAAUCUAGUUGUUAUGAAAUUUGGAUAUGUUGUAGAGAACAUCCAUACGAAGAGAAUGGUGUAUGAAUAAACCUCAGAUUCCUUGUAAAUUGCUCCCAGUUCGUCGUCUUGUACAAGGCAGAGUAAAAUCUCCUCAGACAGACUUGUUGUAAAACGUGUUUUUAUGACUUUCACGCUAUUUGCUCGUGUCUUUAAUGCAUAAUGAUGAACUUUGAUGAUGUUAUACCA